rnacentral:rRNA from 1 species
AGGGCGCACGGUGAAUGCCUUGGCACUAGGAGCCGAUGAAGGACGGGACUAACACCGAUAUGCUUCGGGGAGCUGUAAGUGAGCUUUGAUCCGGAGAUUUCCGAAUGGGGAAACCCACUGUUCGUAAUGGAACAGUAUCUUUAUCUGAAUACAUAGGAUAUUGAAGGCAGACCCGGGGAACUGAAACAUCUAAGUACCCGGAGGAAGAGAAAGCAAAUGCGAUUUCCUGAGUAGCGGCGAGCGAAACGGAAUUAGCCCAAACCAAGAGGCUUGCCUCUUGGGGUUGUAGGACACUCUAUACGGAGUUACAAAGGAACGAAGUAAAUGAAGCGACCUGGAAAGGUCCGUCGAAGAAGGUAACAACCCUGUAGUUGAAACUUCGUUCCCUCUUGAGUGGAUCCUGAGUACGGCGGAACACGUGAAAUUCCGUCGGAAGCUGGGAGGACCAUCUCCCAAGGCUAAAUACUACCUAGUGACCGAUAGUGAACCAGUACCGUGAGGGAAAGGUGAAAAGCACCCCGGAAGGGGAGUGAAAGAGAUCCUGAAACCGUGUGCCUACAAGUAGUCAGAGCCCGUUAACGGGUGAUGGCGUGCCUUUUGUAGAAUGAACCGGCGAGUUACGAUCCCAUGCAAGGUUAAGCUGAUAAGGCGGAGCCGUAGCGAAAGCGAGUCUGAAUAGGGCGUUUAGUAUGUGGUUGUAGACCCGAAACCAGGUGAUCUACCCAUGUCCAGGGUGAAGUUCAGGUAACACUGAAUGGAGGCCCGAACCCACGCACGUUGAAAAGUGCGGGGAUGAGGUGUGGGUAGCGGAGAAAUUCCAAUCGAACCUGGAGAUAGCUGGUUCUCUCCGAAAUAGCUUUAGGGCUAGCCUCAUGUUGUGAGAGUCUUGGAGGUAGAGCACUGAUUGGACUAGGGGCCCCCAACGGGUUACCGAAUUCAGUCAAACUCCGAAUGCCAAAGACUUAUCCAUGGGAGUCAGACUGCGAGUGAUAAGAUCCGUAGUCAAAAGGGAAACAGCCCAGACCACCAGCUAAGGUCCCCAAGUAUACGUUAAGUGGAAAAGGAUGUGGAGUUGCUUAGACAACCAGGAUGUUGGCUUAGAAGCAGCCACCAUUUAAAGAGUGCGUAAUAGCUCACUGGUCGAGUGACUCUGCGCCGAAAAUGUACCGGGGCUAAACGUAUCACCGAAGCUGUGGAUUGACAUCUUUGAUGUCAGUGGUAGGAGAGCGUUCUAAGUGCUGUGAAGUCAGACCGUAAGGACUGGUGGAGCGCUUAGAAGUGAGAAUGCCGGUAUGAGUAGCGAAAGACAAGUGAGAAUCUUGUCCACCGAAUGCCUAAGGUUUCCUGAGGAAGGCUCGUCCGCUCAGGGUUAGUCGGGACCUAAGCCGAGGCUGAAAAGCGUAGGCGAUGGCCAACAGGUUGAUAUUCCUGUACCACCUCCCCGCCGUUUGAGUAAUGGGGGGACGCAGUAGGAUAGGGUAAGCGCGCUGCUGGAUAUGCGCGUUCAAGCAGUUAGGCUGAUGAGUAGGCAAAUCCGCUCAUCAUAAAGGCUGAGCUGUGAUGACGAGGGAAUUAUAGUACCGAAGUUCCUGAUUCCACACUGCCAAGAAAAGCCUCUAGCGAGGCGGGAGGUGCCCGUACCGCAAACCGACACAGGUAGGCGAGGAGAGAAUCCUAAGGUGAUCGAGAGAACUCUCGUUAAGGAACUCGGCAAAAUGACCCCGUAACUUCGGGAGAAGGGGUGCUCUGGUAGGGUGUAUAGCCCGAGAGAGCCGCAGUGAAUAGGCCCAGGCGACUGUUUAGCAAAAACACAGGUCUCUGCGAAGCCGCAAGGCGAAGUAUAGGGGCUGACGCCUGCCCGGUGCUGGAAGGUUAAGAGGAGGGGUUAUCCUUUGGGAGAAGCUCUGAAUCGAAGCCCCAGUAAACGGCGGCCGUAACUAUAACGGUCCUAAGGUAGCGAAAUUCCUUGUCGGGUAAGUUCCGACCCGCACGAAAGGCGUAACGAUCUGGGCACUGUCUCAACGAGAGACUCGGUGAAAUUAUAGUACCUGUGAAGAUGCAGGUUACCCGCGACAGGACGGAAAGACCCCGUGGAGCUUUACUGUAGCCUGAUAUUGAAUUUUGGUACAGCUUGUACAGGAUAGGUAGGAGCCUGAGAAGCCGGAGCGCUAGCUUCGGUGGAGGCGUCGGUGGGAUACUACCCUGGCUGUAUUGAAAUUCUAACCCGCGGCCCUGAUCGGGCCGGGAGACAGUGUCAGGUGGGCAGUUUGACUGGGGCGGUCGCCUCCUAAAAUGUAACGGAGGCGCCCAAAGGUUCCCUCAGAAUGGUUGGAAAUCAUUCGUAGAGUGUAAAGGCACAAGGGAGCUUGACUGCGAGACCUACAAGUCGAGCAGGGACGAAAGUCGGGCUUAGUGAUCCGGUGGUUCCGCAUGGAAGGGCCAUCGCUCAACGGAUAAAAGCUACCCCGGGGAUAACAGGCUUAUCUCCCCCAAGAGUCCACAUCGACGGGGAGGUUUGGCACCUCGAUGUCGGCUCAUCGCAUCCUGGGGCUGUAGUCGGUCCCAAGGGUUGGGCUGUUCGCCCAUUAAAGCGGUACGCGAGCUGGGUUCAGAACGUCGUGAGACAGUUCGGUCCCUAUCCGUCGUGGGCGUAGGAAAUUUGAGAGGAGCUGUCCUUAGUACGAGAGGACCGGGAUGGACACACCGCUGGUGUACCAGUUGUCUUGCCAAAGGCAUCGCUGGGUAGCUAUGUGUGGACGGGAUAAGUGCUGAAAGCAUCUAAGCAUGAAGCCCCCCUCAAGAUGAGAUUUCCCAUAGCGCAAGCUAGU